rnacentral:rRNA from 1 species
CAGCAGCCACGGUAAUACAGAGGGUGCGAGCGUUAAUCGGAUUUACUGGGCGUAAAGCGUGCGUAGGCGGCUAAUUGAGUCGGAUGUGAAAUCCCCGAGCUUAACUUGGGAAUUGCAUUCGAUACUGGUUAGCUAGAGUGUGGGAGAGGAUGGUAGAAUUCCAGGUGUAGCGGUGAAAUGCGUAGAGAUCUGGAGGAAUACCGAUGGCGAAGGCAGCCAUCUGGCCUAACACUGACGCUGAGGUACGAAAGCAUGGGGAGCAAACAGGAUUAGAUACCCCCGUAGUCCCUGUCUCUUAUAA